rnacentral:rRNA from 1 species
CUUGAACGCUGGCGGCAGGCCUAACACAUGCAAGUCGAACGAGUGGCGGACGGGUGAGUAAUGUAUGGGAAACUGACCGAUAGAGGGGGAUAACUACUGGAAACGGUAGCUAAUACCGCAUACACUCGGAUAUGCCCAGAUGGGAUUAGCUAGUAGGUGGGGUAACGUCUCCCCUAGGCGACGAUCCCUAGCUGGUCUGAGAGUAUUACCAGCCACACUGGAACUGGGACACGGUCCAGACUCCUACGUGAGGCAGCAGUGGGGAAGAUUGCACAAUGGGCGCAAGCCUGAUGCAGCCAUGCCGCGUGUAUGAAGAAGGCCUUCGGGUUGUAAAGUACUUUCAGCGAGGAGGCGUUACUCGCAGAAGAAGCACCGGCUAACUCCGUGCCAGAAGCGGCGGUAAUUC